rnacentral:rRNA from 1 species
UACGUAGGGGGCUAGCGUUGUCCGGAUUUAUUGGGCGUAAAGAGCGUGUAGGCGGCCAGGUAGGUCUGGUGUGAAAACUCGAGGCUUAACCUCGAGAUGUCAUCGGAAACCAUCUGGCUAGAGUCCGGAAGAGGAGAGUGGAAUUCCUGGUGUAGCGGUGAAAUGCGCAGAUAUCAGGAAGAACACCUAUGGCGAAGGCAGCUCUCUGGGACGGUACUGACGCUGAGACGCGAAAGCGUGGGGAGCGAACAGG